CCUACGGGUGGCAGCAGUGAGGAAUAUUGGUCAAUGGGCGGGAGUCUGAACCAGCCAAGUAGCGUGAAGGAUGACUGCCCUACGGGUUGUAAACUUCUUUUAUAUGGGAAUAAAACGUUCCACGUGUGGGAUUUUGUAUGUACCAUAUGAAUAAGGAUCGGCUAACUCCGUGCCAGCAGCCGCGGUAAUACGGAGGAUCCGAGCGUUAUCCGGAUUUAUUGGGUUUAAAGGGAGCGUAGGUGGAUUGUUAAGUCAGUUGUGAAAGUUUGCGGCUCAACCGGAAAAUUGCAGUUGAAACUGGCAGUCUUGAGUACAGUAGAGGUAGGCGGAAUUCGUGGUGUAGCGGUGAAAUGCUUAGAUAUCACGAAGAACUCCGAUUGCGAAGGCAGUUCACUGGACUGCAACUGACACUGAGGCUCGAAAGUGUGGGUAUCAAACAGGAUUAGAUACCCUAGUAGUC
rnacentral:rRNA from 1 species